rnacentral:rRNA from 1 species
UACGUAGGGUGCAAGCGUUAAUCGGAAUUACUGGGCGUAAAGCGUGCGGCAGGCGGUGAUGUAAGACAGAAUGUCGAAAUCCCCGGGCUCAACCCGGGAACCUGCAUUUGGAUGACUGCGAUCGCUGGAGUACGGCAGACGGGGGAUGGAAUUCCGCGUGAGCAGUGAAAUGCGUAGAUGAUGCGGAGGACACCGAUGGCGAAGGCAAGUCCCCUGGGCCUGUCACUGACGCUCAUGCACGGAAAGCGUAGGGGGAGCAAACAGG